CUUGAAGGCAGCAUGCUCCUUAAGAGUCAUCACCGCUCCCUAAUCUCAAGUACCCAGGGACACAAAAACUGUGGAAGGCUGCAGGGACCUCUGCCUAGGAAAGCCAGGUCAAUAGGAACUAAUUUUUUUCCAAGGAGAAUUUUCAGUUUUCAGUAGAAACAAUUUUCAAAUGUCUGCCAAAAACAACUUGUUUUUUUUUUUUUUUUUUUUUUUUUUGAGAUGGAGUUUCGCUCUUGUUGCCCAGGCUGGAGUGCAAUGGCAUGAUCUUGGCUCACUGUAACCUCUGUCUCCCGGUUCAAGCGAUUCUCCUGCCUCAGCCCCCUGAAUAGCUGAAAUUACAGGUGCCAGCCACCACCCCUGGCUAAUUUUUUGUAUUUUUAGUAGAGAUAGGGUUUUACCAUGAUGGCUAGGCUGGUCUCAAACUCCUAACCUCAGGUGAUCCACCCGCCUUAGCCUCCCAAAGUACUGGGAUUACAUGCAUGAGCCACUGUGCCCGGCUGCCAAAAACAACUUUUUUUUUUUUUUUUUUUUUGAGACAGAGUCUUGCUCUAUCGCCCAUGCUGGAGUGCAGUGGCACGAUCUCGACACACUGCAACCUUUGCUUCCUGAGUUCAAGCGAUUCUCCUGCCUCAGCCUCCUGAGUAGCUGGGAUUACAGGCACAUGCCACCAUGCCCGGCUAAUUUUUUAUAUUUUUAGUAGAGAUGGGGUUUCACUAUGUUGGUCAGGCUGGUCUCGAACUCCUGACCUCAGGUGAUCCACCCGCCUCGGCCUCCCAAAGUGCUGAGAUUGCAAGCAUGAGCCACCGCGCCCGGCCAAAAACAACUUCUAAUAGAUCUUCAAAAACCAGAUGGCGUCUCACUCUGUUGCCCAGGCUGGAGUGCAGUGGCGCCAUCUCAGCUCACUGCAACCUCCGCCUCUUAGGUUCAAGCGAUUCUCCUGCCUCAGCCUGCCGAGUAGCUGGGAUUACAGAGAUCGGAUCUCACUCUGUUGCCCAGGCUGGAGUGCAGUAGUGGCACAAUUAUAGCUCACUGCAGCUUUGAUCUUCUGGGCUUAAGUGAUUUUCCCACCUGAACCUCCUGAGUAGCUGGGACUACAGGUAUGCAUCACCACACUCAGCUGAUUAUUUUUUUGGUAGUCUUGCUAUGUUGCUCAGGCUGUUCUCAAACUCCUGGCCUCAAGUGAGCCUCCUGUCUCAGCCUCUCAAAGUGUUGGGAUUAAAGGCGUGAGCCACAACAUCUGGCCAACUUUUUCUUUUAAAUAUACCAAUGCUUUGUCCUGGCUAACACUUUCUAUUAAUAUAAUGUCUCCCAAAUCCUUGAUAACCAGAAAUUAUUUUAUUUAUAUAUUUUUUUGAAACAGAGUCUCACUUUGUGGCCCAGGCUGGAGUACAGUGGUAUGAUCACUGCUCACUGUAGCCUUGGCCUUCUGGGCUCAAGGUAUCUUCCUACCUCAGACUCCCAAGUAGCUGGGACUAUUGGUAUGUGGCACCACACUUGGCUAAUUUAAAAAAGAAUUUUUUUUAGAGACAGGGUCUUGCUAUGUUGCCCAGGCGGGUCUCGAACUACUGGACUCAUGUGAUCCUCCCAGCUUGGCCUCCCAAAGUGCUGAGAUUACAGGCAUGAGCCACUGUGACUGGCUCAGAAAAGAUUUUAAAAAGCUGAAACUUGAAAAGAUGUGGAGAGGCAAGGAGCUAUAACUUUACAAUAUGGCACAAAAAGAAGAAAGCAAAGAGAGGGGAAAAAAAUGACAUCAACAUGAAGAAAGCUAUUUACCUAAGUUGGGCUGAGCACCAUUUUUGUAGAUUUUAGAAUAAGUAUAGUGGUAACCUAAUUGAUUCGUUAUCUUCUUUGACUCUUAAGCAAGAAGGGCUUCUAUUCCUUUCCUCUUUUCUUUGUUCUUUACACAUUUUCAUCAGAUGAAGGAAAAAUGCAAAUGAUUUUCCUGGCUGCGUGGCUAUGGGUAGAAGGCAGCAUAUUCUUUUAAUUCAGCCUAAAUAUCCAGAUUAGUACUCCUGAUGAUAAUAAGAUUUUAAAUUUUAUAUUAACAGAACACUUAUGUGUCAGGCACUAGGUUAGGCAUUUUACAUGGAUUAUCUCAUCUAACCAUCACAAAAAUGAUUAAAUAGGUACUGUUACUAACCCCAAUUCUUGGAUGUAGAAAUGGAGGUUUGGAAAGGUUAAAAUAGGCUUUCUCAAUAUCAUCACUGUUCACAUUUUGGGCCAGAUAAUCCUCUGUUGUGAGGGCUGUCCUGUGUAUUGUGGGAUUUUUAGCUGCCUCCACAAACUAAAUGCCAGCAGCAACUCCCACCCCAGUUGUGACAACCAAACAUAUCUCUUGUCAAAGACAUUGUCAAAUGUCUUUUAGGUGGGACAAAAUCAGCUGUUGGUGAAUUACUGACUCAAGUAAUCUUGGCCAAGAUCAUGCAGAGAGUAAGCAGAAGAGCUAAGCUUUGAAACCGUGGUCUGAAUCAACAAGCCAAGCUUUUAACUUGAUACACUAUGCUGCCACAUGCCCCUUUCCUAGGAUGAUUACAGAGUAAAAAGAACAAACAGAAAGGCCUAUCCUUUCACUGGCAUUAAAUGGGGGAAUGUCUCAGUUAUAACUGUUUAGUAUUAUUAUUAUUAUUUUCUUUUUUGAGACAGUCUCACUCUGUCGCCCAGGCUGGAGUGCAAUGGCGUGAUUUCGUUUCACUGCAACCUCUGCCUCCUGGGCUCAGGCAAUUCUCCUGCCUCAGCCUCCCGAGUAGCUGGGAUUAUAGGUGUCUGCCACCAUGCCCAGCUAAUAUUUUUAUUUUUAGUAGAGAUGGGGUUUCACCAUGUUGGCCAGGCUGGUCUCAAACUCCCGACUUCAGGUGAUCUGCCUGCCUCAGCCUCCCAAAGUGCUGAGAUUACAGGUGUGAGCCACUGUGCCUGGCCAACUGUUUAGUAUUACGAUUAUGGGAAAGAGAUCUCAAAGGAGAUUUUAGGACAUAAACAUGAAAACACACCAUUUAUAUUACAUUAUAUAACAAUAUACUAUUCUGGUUAGCAAAAGAUUCUUUUUACUUUAUAUAACUUUUCUA